rnacentral:rRNA from 1 species
UACGUAGGGUGCGAGCGUUAAUCGGAAUUACUGGGCGUAAAGCGUGCGCAGGCGGUUUUGUAAGCCAGAUGUGAAAGCCCCGGGCUUAACCUGGGAAUGGCAUUUGGGACUGCAAGGCUUGAGUGUGGCAGAGGAGACUGGAAUUCCUGGUGUAGCAGUGAAAUGCGUAGAGUAUUGGGAUGGACACCGGUGGCGGAAAGCGGCUCUCUGGUCCGGACCUGACGCGUGAGGCGACGAAAGCGUGGGGAGCAAACAGG